ACAGUACUCCGUACGGGAGGCAGCAGGUAGGGGGAAUAUGCGACAAUGGACGAAAGUCUGACGCAGCGACGCCGCGUGGAGGAUGAAGGUUUUCGGAUCGUAAACUCCUGUCAAGAGGGAAGAAACCUAUUAUGAAUAAUACUCAUAGUAAUUGACGGUACCUCUAGAGGAAGCACCGGCUAAAUUCAGUGCCAGCAGCCGCGGUAAUACUGAAGGUGCAAGCGUUAAUCGGAAUCACUGGGCGUAAAGCGCUCGUAGGUGGCUUUGUAAGUCAGGUGUGAAAGCCCACGGCUCAACCGUGGAAUUGCACUUGAUACUGCAUCGCUAGAGUAUAGGAGAGGGAAGUGGAAUUUCUGGUGUAGGAGUGAAAUCCGUAGAGAUCAGAAGGAACACCCGUGGCGAAGGCGACUUCCUGGACUAUUACUGACACUGAGGAGCGAAAGCGUGGGGAGCAAACAGGAUUAGAUACCCUGGUAG
rnacentral:rRNA from 1 species